UACGAAGGGGGCUAGCGUUGUUCGGAAUUACUGGGCGUAAAGCGCACGUAGGCGGAUUGUUAAGUCGGGGGUGAAAUCCUGAGGCUCAACCUCAGAACUGCCUUCGAUACUGGCGAUCUUGAGUUCGGAAGAGGUUGGUGGAACAGCUAGUGUAGAGGUGAAAUUCGUAGAUAUUCGCAAGAACACCAGUGGCGAAGGCGGCUCACUGGCCCGGUACUGACGCUGAGGUGCGAAAGCGUGGGGAGCAAACAGG
rnacentral:rRNA from 1 species